rnacentral:ribozyme from 1 species
AUCACAAACAGCUUUGUUAAUGGGGUAGGAUCCGAGACCCUGUAAAGGGUUACAUAAGAUCUCCUACUCAACUCCUUAUUCCGUCACUUUCCGGUUGCGCAGAGUGGGAACCUGCUCCACCGUACAUCCAAGCUUGGGUAAACGGGCCAGUCCCAAGUCUUGGGCGGAUGAUGGAGCACGGCUGAAUAGGAGGGG